UCUCUCCUGGAAACGGGUGGUAAUGCCGGAUGCUCCGACUCCUCGCAUGGGGUGUCGGGAAAGAUUUCAUCGGUAUGGGAUGGGGUCGCGUCCUAUCAGGUAGUCGGCGGGGUAACGGCCCACCGAGCCUACGACGGGUAGCCGGCCUGAGAGGGCGACCGGCCACAUUGGGACUGAGAUACGGCCCAGACUCCUACGGGAGGCAGCAGUGGGGAAUAUUGCACAAUGGGCGCAAGCCUGAUGCAGCGACGCCGCGUGCGGGAUGACGGCCUUCGGGUUGUAAACCGCUUUUGAUCGGGAGCAAGCCUUCGGGUGAGUGUACCUUUCGAAUAAGCACCGGCUAACUACGUGCCAGCAGCCGCGGUAAUACGUAGGGUGCAAGCGUUAUCCGGAAUUAUUGGGCGUAAAGGGCUCGUAGGCGGUUCGUCGCGUCCGGUGUGAAAGUCCAUCGCUUAACGGUGGAUCUGCGCCGGGUACGGGCGGGCUGGAGUGCGGUAGGGGAGACUGGAAUUCCCGGUGUAACGGUGGAAUGUGUAGAUAUCGGGAGGAACACCA
rnacentral:rRNA from 1 species